rnacentral:snRNA from 12 species
GUGGUUCUGUUAUGGCUUGCUCAGACAUCACAUAUGAUAAACUGCAAUCGAUACAGAGAAGAUUAGCAUGGUCACCCACAAAGACAACAUGAAAAUUUGUGGUGUGGCUUGGGCAUGU